rnacentral:rRNA from 1 species
AUUGCACGCUGGCGGCAGGCCUAACACAUGCAAGUCGAGCGAGCGGCGGACGGGUGAGUAAUGUAUGGGGACUGCCCGAUAGAGGGGGAUAACUACUGGAAACGGUAGCUAAUACAGCAUACUAUCGGAUAACCCAUAGGGGCUUAGCUAGUAGGUGAGCUAAUGGCCCACCUAGGCGACGAUCCCUAGCUGGUCUGAGAGGAUGAUCAGCCACAGUGGGACUGAGACACGUCCAAGAAUCCUCCGGAGGCAUCAGCGGGGAAUAUUGCACUAUGGGCGCAAGCCUGAUGCAGCCAGGCCGAGUGUAUGAAGAAGGCCUUAGGGUUGUAAAGUACGUUCAGCGGGGAGGCGUUACCCGCAGAAGAAGCAUCGGCUAACUCCGUGCCAGCCGCCGCGGUAAUUC